UUGGCCUACGGGACGCAGCAGUGAGGAAUAUUGGUCAAUGGGCGGAAGCCUGAACCAGCCAAGUCGCGUGAGGGAAGAAGGCCCUGCGGGUCGCAGACCUCUUUGGACGGGGAGCAAGGCCGCCGACGUGUCGGCGGAAGGAGAGUACCCGUAGAACAAGCAUCGGCUAACUCCGUGCCAGCAGCCGCGGUAAUACGUAGGGAGCGAGCGUUGUCCGGAUUUACUGGGUGUAAAGGGUGCGCAGGCGGCUCUGCAAGUCAGGCGUGAAAGCUAGGGGCUCAACCCCUAAAUUGCGCUUGAAACUG
rnacentral:rRNA from 1 species